rnacentral:tmRNA from 1 species
GGGGGCGACCUGGCUUCGACGCGGGUUACGAAACCUAAGGUGCAUGCCGAGUACUCCAGUUCUUCUCGUAAAAAAGAUUGGAAAAAUAUAGUUGCUAACGAUAACAACUACGCACUAGCUG